rnacentral:rRNA from 1 species
GACGAACGCUAGCGGCGUGCCUAAGCUAUGCAAGUCGAGCGGGGUUUCAGCGUAGAGUUCCCUUCGGGGGGCAAAGUGCUGCGACCUAGCGGCAAACGGGUGAGUAACACGUGAGGAACCUGCCCUGUUGACCGGGAUAACCACCCGAAAGGGGGGCUAAUACCGGAUACGAAGCCCUGGCGCAUGAUGGGGCUUGGAAAAGGGAAACCUGCAAUGGGAGGGCCUCGCGGCCUAUCAGCUUGUUGGUGAGGUAACGGCCCACCAAGGCGACGACGGGUAGCCGGCCUGAGAGGGCGAUCGGCCACACUGGGACUGAGACACGGCCCAGACUCCUACGGGAGGCAGCAAGCGGGAAUAUUGUCCAAUGGGCGAAAGCCUGAGACAGCGACGCCGCGUGAGGGAUGAAGGCAUUCGUGUCGUAAACCUCUGUUGACGGGGACGAAGAU